rnacentral:rRNA from 1 species
AAAUGAAUUGACGGGGGCCCGCACAAGCGGUGGAGUAUGUGGUUUAAUUCGAAGCAACGCGAAGAACCUUACCAGGUCUUGACAUGGCGCUAAAGGCUCUAGAGAUAGGGAGAUAGUUAUAGCGCACACAGGUGGUGCAUGGUUGUCGUCAGCUCGUGUCGUGAGAUGUUGGGUUAAGUCCCGCAACGAGCGCAACCCUUGUCGUUAGUUACCAUCAUUAAGUUGGGGACUCUAGCGAGACUGCCGGUGACAAACCGGAGGAAGGUGGGGAUGACGUCAAAUCAUCAUGCCCCUUAUGACCUGGGCUACACACGUACUACAAUGGCGAGAACAACGGGAAGCGACUAGGUGACUAGAAGCGGAACUCACAAAACUCGUCUCAGUUCGGAUCGAAGUCUGCAACUCGACUUCGUGAAGUUGGAAUCGCUAGUAAUCGCGGAUCAGCAUGCCGCGGUGAAUACGUUCUCGGGCCUUGCACACACCGCCCGU